GUCGAGCGAACACUUCGGUGGGAAGCGGCGAACGGGUGAGUAACACUUAGGUGAUCUGCCCAUCAGACGGGGACAACGAUUGGAAACGAUCGCUAAUACCGGAUAGGACGAAAGUUUAAAGAUGCUUCUGGCAUCACUGAUGGAUGAGCCUGCGGCGCAUUAGCUAGUUGGUGGGGUAAAGGCCUACCAAGGCGACGAUGCGUAGCCGACCUGAGAGGGUGAACGGCCACACUGGGACUGAGACACGGCCCAGACUCCUACGGGAGGCAGCAGUAGGGAAUCUUCGGCAAUGGGCGAAAGCCUGACCGAGCAACGCCGCGUGAAUGAAGAAGGCCUUCGGGUUGUAAAAUUCUGUUAUAAGGGAAGAAAGGUGAUAGGAGGAAAUGACUAUCAAUUGACGGUACCUUAUGAGAAAGCCACGGCUAACUACGUGCCAGCAGCCGCGGUAAUACGUAGGUGGCAAGCGUUAUCCGGAAUUAUUGGGCGUAAAGAGCGCGCAGGUGGUUAAUUAAGUCUGAUGUGAAAGCCCACGGCUUAACCGUGGAGGGUCAUUGGAAACUGGUUGACUUGAGUGCAGAAGAGGGAAGUGGAAUUCCAUGUGUAGCGGUGAAAUGCGUAGAGAUAUGGAGGAACACCAGUGGCGAAGGCGGCUUCCUGGUCUGCAACUGACACUGA
rnacentral:rRNA from 1 species